GAUGUGCUCACUCUUUUUCUUUCUUUUUGAUAAUGGUCAUCUUAAGAGGUGUCCAGUGUCCUUCAAUUUGCGUUUCCUUGAUGACUAGUGAUGUUGAACAUAUAUCUCUUGGAUAACUGUAAACUGUCCUAGUGGGACCUUCAUAAUCACAUGAGCCUUUAACAGUAGAAACAGAAAUGGAAGCCAGAAAGAUGAAGGAGAAGAGAAUUUCAGAUACAUAUAUCUAUAAAUUAUGAGGGAGCCGUGUAACUGGGAGUGCGGACAGCUUCUAGGAACUGACAACUGACAGUGACAAAGGAACUAACAACACAACUGACAACCAGAAAGGAAUUUGAGACCUCCAUCUUAAAACAACAAAAAUCGGAUUCUCCAUAAAAUGAAUAAGACUAGAGGGGGACUGUGUCCAAAAAUCUCCAGGAGUUUUGCUCAGAGUUCUUGCACCAUUUUUGGCUAACUGUUAUAUAGCAUGUAAGGUUUUUUAAAUGCAAGAUAUUAUAGACUACAGGUCAUUUGAAGACAGUCAAGAUGCAUUUAGAGAAAUCAAAGACAAAUUAUUCAAUGGUGCAUAUAUCAGACCUAUUGGAUCAGUAUUUCCUGGGGGAAGCUCAGAGGCCAAGGUAAA